AGCAAAAGCUGUCCCACACCAGGACAAGCCCUGGGGCUGUGGCUGUCACACAGGGGACAGCCCUGAGCUCCAGGGACCCCCAAGGCACGCCAUGAUGUGGCCACCCAGGGCUGUCCUGGGAGAGGACACAGCCACGCUCACUGGCACCACUGAUGCCUUAAGCUUAAACUUUCAUAUUUUCCAGACUCUGCACUGCAUUGGUGUGUAACUCUUGAGCUUCAUGUAAAGUGUCAGCAGCUCUCCUCCACAGCUCAGUCGCACAGAACAAUCCUUUCCCAGCCCCAGAACCAAGGACACCGCUGCAGCUCCAGGCCCAAAAAGUGCAAACAGCAAAAAGGCCCAAAAUGCCCAAAAAGUGCAAAAAACAGGGAAUUGAGGAGAGCAACUGGGAGGAUGGGACUGCACAACCUGGAGCUGGAAUUGGGCAAUGAACCCCAAUGUGGAAAUGGACCAAAACUUGUAAAAGUGUGAAAACUCGUGACUCAGAGUCCAUCUUGGGUCCAUCUUGGGUGGAGCCUUGGCCAGACUUUUGUGCUGCCCAAGGUGCAUCCUUUGAAGGCCUUCUAAUAAAUACCCACUUUAUUGCUUUAACACUGCCUAGCCUCUGCUCCAGGCAGCCUCUCCAGGCACCACCAGCACCAAGAGGAGGACACAGAUCCCAGAGCUGGCUGCCCAGGCAGCGCCAGGCCUGCAGCCCCAGGGCCUCACUUCACAAGCUCUAAAUUAAAAACUACGAGCUGCUCAUGUUCAAUUUUAGUUCUGAAGCAGAAUCACUUCUGUUUACAUGGCUCAUGUCCUAAGCAAUCCGGGAGCUGCCUGGCUCCUUGUGCGUUACCAUGGCACUGCAGAUUAGCUGAGAGGUCAGUGAGUGUUGAUGCCCCAAACAACCUCCAGAGUGAAGCACUGAGGGACCCAGAGGAUUCCCUGUCACAGGCAGGGAAUGCCACCUGGCAGCUCCACUGCCAGCUCCUUGCCUUCAGCUCCUCCUGGAUUCAGCUUUCCCUGCCCAGGAGGCAAAGCUCACACUGGGGAAACGAUGCAAGAGUCAGCAGUGCUUUUGAUGUCCCACCCUCCCAUCAGCAGGGCCAGCCAACAGAACCUGUAAGCCUGUGUGCAACCUGAAGUGCAAGUAAAUUACUGAGCAGAAGAGAACAAUCACUGCAGCAACUGAAAACUCCUCAGUAAUCCCAGAAGGAAAAGCAGCAAAUUGCAGUCUAAAUCAAAGC